AUGACUAGUAUAGGGAUUACUAAGGGGACUAAAGAAACAAGAACAACAAAAACUAAUACAUCCGCCAAUAUAUUCCUGCUAAGCGAUAAUGGUUUUGUGAAAUCUUCUAGGAUGUUAAUUGGUAAAAGGAUUGGAGUUGGUUUAAUAUAUUUCUUGAAAUAG
rnacentral:rRNA from 1 species